rnacentral:lncRNA from 1 species
CUCUUCUUUCAUUUAGUAUUGCAGGUUAUUGUAGACAUGCCUCAUUUUGCCUGCCUAUCUGUACAUUUUUGGCAGAGCUCCUUGCCCUGUCUCAUUUGUAUUUACAACCCUUCUUAUGAUCUAACUAAAGGCCUUGCACACUGACCCUUGGAAAAUGGUGGCAUACAAAAAAAAAUCUUAAGUGAAAGAGCAUAGGCUUUGGAUAAAUGGAAAGAAGUUUACUUUCUACCUCCAUGACUAAGUUGUGGGUCACCAAGGAAAAACUACUUAAACUCAGUGUAUCAGUUAGGACUGUGUUGGGCUUUAUCUUUAACAAAUAAGGCAUUUUAUUCUUCUCACUUGAAAAAAGCCACCCUUAAAGUAUGGAUUCCAUCCUCAUGUUGGUUGCCGUGCAAUCACAAGAUGGCUACUCUACUUCUAAAUUCAAGCAAGAAGAGGACAGUCCUAGGUGUUAAAUUAAGAAAGUUCUGCGAGAAAUUGGCUUCCUGGUGUGAAAUGCAAGAGUUGAAGAUCAAAGAUACUUGUGAAAUCUAGACCUUAUUUUAUUCAUGGAUUCCUAAUGAAUAAAUAAAGCAAGC